GCGUAGGCGGUUUUUUAAGUCUGAUGUGAAAGCCCACGGCUCAACCGUGGAGGGUCAUUGGAAACUGGAAAACUUGAGUGCAGAAGAGGAAAGUGGAAUUCCAUGUGUAGCGGUGAAAUGCGCAGAGAUAUGGAGGAACACCAGUGGCGAAGGCGACUUUCUGGUCUGUAACUGACGCUGAUGUGCGAAAGCGUGGGGAUCAAACAGGAUUAGAUACCCUGGUAGUCCACGCCGUAAACGAUGAGUGCUAAGUGUUAGGGGGUUUCCGCCCCUUAGUGCUGCAGCUAACGCAUUAAGCACUCCGCCUGGGGAGUACGACCGCAAGGUUGAAACUCAAAGGAAUUGACGGGGACCCGCACAAGCGGUGGUGCAUGUGGUUUAAUUCGAAGCAACGCGAAGAACCUUACCAAAUCUUGACAUCCUCUGACCCCUCUAGAGAUAGAGUUUUCCCCUUCGGGGGACAGAGUGACAGGUGGUGCAUGGUUGUGGUCAGCUCGUGUCGUGAGAUGUUGGGUUAAGUCCCGCAACGAGCGCAACCCUUAAGCUUAGUUGCCAUCAUUAAGUUGGGCACUCUAAGUUGACUGCCGGUGACAAACCGGAGGAAGGUGGGGAUGACGUCAAAUCAUCAUGCCCCUUAUGAUUUGGGCUACACACGUGCUACAAUGGACAAUACAAAGGGCAGCGAAACCGCGAGGUCAAGCAAAUCCCAUAAAGUUGUUCUCAGUUCGGAGUGUAGUCUGCAACUCGACUAUAUGAAGCUGGAAUCGCUAGUAAUCGUAGAUCAGCAUGCUACGGUGAAUACGUUCCCGGGU
rnacentral:rRNA from 1 species